UUUGAAUAAAUUAUAGAACUUCUUAAGUUAAAAAUUUAAAAAACUCCGUAAUUCGUCACAGGACGUGACGAGCCAAUUUCCGCCCCAAGGACGGGGCAUAAAUUGGGUAGGAGUUUUUUAAAUUUUUAAUUUUAGAAGUUCUUAAUGAAAUGAUU
rfam:Clostridium acetireducens DSM 10703 CLAC_contig000019, whole genome shotgun sequence.